rnacentral:rRNA from 1 species
UAUCAACGGCACCACGAGGGUUAGACUGUCUCCUUUUUCAAAUCAGUGAAAUUAAUCUCCCCGUGAAGAAGCGGGGAUACUCAUAUAAGACGAGAAGACCCCAUGGAGCUUCAAACCCAACUACACCCCUAGCUCUUAUAGCCCCACAACCCCCCCCCCCC